GGGCCGAACUAUAGAUCGUACGUCAGCCUGCCCAGUGACUUAGUUCAACGGCCGCGGUACCCUGACCGUGCGAAGGUAGCAUAAUCACUUGUUCCUUAAAUAGGGACUAGUAUCAACGGCACCACGAGGACUAUACUGUCUCCCCCUCCUAAUCUAUGAAACUAAUCUCCCCGUGAAGAAGCGGGGAUAAAACUAUAAGACGAGAAGACCCCAUGGAGCUUUAAAUUCAACAGACAAUCUUGUAUACAUUAACCAUUACAACUCCAGAACCCUGUCUGUUAAUUUUAGGUUGGGGUGACCGCGGAGUAUAGCUAAACCUCCACAACGAACAUAAUUCUAACCUUUAUCCAAGAGCCACAACUCUAAGAAUCAACAAAUUGACGUUAAAUGACCCGACAUUCGAUUAAUGAAACAAGUUACCCUGGGGAUAACAGCGCAAUCUGCUUUUAGAGCCCAUAUCAACAAGCAGGCUUACGACCUCGAUGUUGGAUCAGGAUAUCCCGGCGGUGCAGCCGCUGCCAAGGUUCGUUUGUUCACAAUAAAACCUACGUGAUCUGAGUUCAACCGG
rnacentral:rRNA from 1 species